UGCAGAGAAAGAACAGCAUGCCCGAGACGAAAUGAACUCAGGGCAGCCAAUCUUCACUGUAUUGGUGACAGGCGCUAACCGUUGCGCCACCGGGCCGCCGGCUUGAGUGUACCGGGCCAUUAAACGUAUGUAUUGUUCUUGAAAUUUCAGUCAUCUUGUGUCUAUUUUUUACAACCAUUUUUAUCUCAUACAGCUUUCAUAUCCAGCCACAUUGUCUAAAAUUGUGAUUUGAUUAUUUCACAAAAACCGUGACAACAAAAACAUUUUUCCCUUCUUCACAGGUGUAUAACUAGAGGUCACCGCCGAUGAUCCAUGAUAAAGGGACAUGUAGAGAUAAGAGCUAUACUAGUAACACUUAAACUGUUCUGGAUCAAUGUAUGUCUUGGUUUUCUCCAUUCAGGUAGCCUGGUAUGGUUCUGUACCUCUGCCUCAUAAUCCAGCGUCAGAGAAUUUUCCAAUUUCUGUCCUAAGGUGACAAGAUGUUGCCCCACAGUUGUGGAGGCAGUAGCUGUUGACUAGGUAAAAGAUAUCCAAGUAGCAUUUAUAGCUCACACAACUAAGGGUAAAAACUUGUUUCCUCUUUGUUAAUUGAUGUGAAUGAAAUAAGAUUUGUUUCUCUUGCUCUUAUGUUUUGAUUUAUUGAGAUAUCACCACGAGCCCCUUCAUCUACCAUCAGGCGCAUGGACCGUCACUGCUGGAACCACCGCUGAUAAUGUGUAAGGAAUGUGUACAGCAACCUGUAAACUCCUGUAAGAAAUGUCUAUCAUAAUUUAAAACCCUGUCGAUCUACAGUCAUUUAUGUUUGUCAUAACUUGCAGGACAGUUUGUAGAAAACACACCACGGCUUUUUAGCUCGUCUACCUCAAGCACUCCACAAGAUAAUCUAAUGAAAGGGUUUGGUAAGAAAUCACUGUAAAAGACAAGUUAGACAUCAGAGAUUAGACAAAAAUCAAAUAAAAAUGUUUUUAGAACGUUCAUUUGUUUUGAGUUCUCAUGUAACGUUCUUUAUAUAUAAAAUAAAUACUUUUACAUAUAUAUAAAUGUGGCUAGUUUGACUCUUUCCCUUUAUUUGACUUUUUGAAAGAGCUAAAAGCUUCCUUGUUGCAAUCGUUAGCACACAUUUAUAUAUUCACCAAAAUGUUUGUUAAAGACAGAAAAUACUUGUAUUAUUUCAUUUUCACAUAGUUAUGUUUAGGUAUCUGUCCAAGAGCAAAUUCAUUAAUCAUCUAAAGCUUAAAGGGAGAGAAAUUAAAAGGUUGUUUGCUGAUUUGCUUCCCUUUUUGUGUUCACAGGUCAUAUUACAGGCUUUUCUUGACUGGAUAAAUAUGGAUGAACUCACAUUAACCACAUUUAGCAAAGAUUGACUACAGUUAUAAUCUGCUCCUUUGACUAACCGUUCUUCCUUCCAUGCCGCCAUUUUCGUCUCAGUCCAGUUUCUUGUUUGUGCAAGUCGACAGCGGGAUGAAACAUGUGCCAUGUGGCCAAGCAUCUUGAUGACUCGAGGCAGCAACACUGUCUACAGUUCUUUUGUCCUGCGGAGGUGUAUCAUCAGCAUUCUUGAUUGGUUCCUUCUAGUGACUUCUCUGAUGAGAAAAAAACUGUUGAUGUCACCUUUAAAUCUUCAACGGGGAAAGAACCAUGGGAAAGAAGGGCAGCCACCCCAUCAGAUUAGACACUGGGGAGGCAAGAAUGUGAAUGUUGUUUACUGUCAGCAUCUAAUUUGCUUUCCCACCUACGUUAAGCAUCUUUCUACGCCACUAGAAAUGUGUUGCGAAGCAGCACAGACAAGUCGGGUCCUCCAGUUGUUUCUGUCUCCAGGAUUUUUUUUGGACAAUAAUUUAUGCAUUUAUUUCAGUUUCAUAUACUUUUUUGAUAACGGAGUACUGCAUUCCUUCAGUUGUCAAUCAUAUAGUACAACACAAUUGCCCCCGUUUUAUAUGUUGUCCCCUUUUUUCUGGUAUCUUGGUUAUUUUCUUCAAUUUCUCUCUAUCAUGAUUAUUAUUUUUGUUACAAUUAAUGUUAUUUGUAAAAUUCCUUGAGCUUGCUAAUAGAACUUUGGAAGAUAACCCUAACGCACUCAUCAAUAUUAGCAUAUCUACGGUGUAAAGUGUUUUAAAGCAAAGAUGAUAAGAAAGCUAACGAAAAACAUGUUCUGAACAAUAUUUUUUCAUAUUUAGUAUUGUUUUUUAUUCCGCUCUUCCAAAUGAUUCUUACAUCACUGAAAUGCAGUUAUCUCCCUUCCCUUACAACUUGGAACGAUGUCUUUGAAAAUAUGAAAUGUAAUAACAACCAUUUUGUAUGCUCCAACACUACAGACAUCUCUGCGUCGUGAAAAUUGAGUUGUGAAAAUAAAUGAGUGUAGUGAUC